UCGAGAAUUUUUCACAAUGGGGGCAACCCUGAUGGAGCGACGCCGCGUGGAGGAUGGAGGCCUUCGGGUUGUAAACUCCUGUCAUGCGGGAACAAGCAAGUGAUAGUACCGCAAGAGGAAGAGACGGCUAACUCUGUGCCAGCAGCCGCGGUAAUACAGAGGUCUCAAGCGUUGUUCGGAUUCAUUGGGCGUAAAGGGUGCGUAGGUGGUGACGCAAGUCUGGUGUGAAAUCUCGGAGCUUAACUCCGAAAUGGCACCGGAUACUGCGUAACUCGAGGACUGUAGAGGAGAUCGGAAUUCACGGUGUAGCAGUGAAAUGCGUAGAUAUCGUGAGGAAGACCAGUUGCGAAGGCGGAUCUCUGGGCAGUUCCUGACACUGAGGCACGAAGGCCAGGGGAGCAAACGGG
rnacentral:rRNA from 1 species